rnacentral:rRNA from 1 species
UACAGAGGUCCCGAGCGUUGUUCGGAUUUAUUGGGCGUAAAGAGCUCGUAGGCGGUGUGUCACGUCGGCCGUGAAAACCUGCAGCUUAACUGUGGGCGUGCGGUCGAUACGGGCAUCACUGGAGUUCGGCAGGGGAGACUGGAAUUCCUGGUGUAGCGGUGAAAUGCGCAGAUAUCAGGAGGAACACCGGUGGCGAAGGCGGGUCUCUGGGCAACAACUGACGCUGGAGGAGCGAAAGCGUGGGGAGCGAACAGGA